AUUUAAGUGAACGAUUAUAUAUAAUGUCUCCAUGGUAAAUCACAGUAGAAUAUCUCUUUAGUUGUGGCUUUCACUCUAUUUCUGACUUAUUUGGACAAGGAUUUUUUUUAGUACGAAAUGUGCUGAAAAAUCUGUACGAUUUCACUGCCAGAUGUGGAUUCAAGAUGAAUGCAAGAUUCACCUGAUAAUGAUUACGAUAUGAAGAGAAGAGUUGACUGAAAGAUACAAGAAACUAAUGUUUUAAUGUUAUUCAACCACAAUGAAAAAUAUAUUUUAUAUUAUAAUAAUCAUAAAAAAAUGAAGUCAACGCUCUGUAACGCCAUCUACCGUGAACCCAUCUGCAAGAAGCCGAGAUGCUAUUAGGAUUUAUUUAAAUGUAAUCAAAGUAUUAGAAAUGUAUCAGUUAUGUAACAUAUGAAGACAAUAUCUUUAAUACAGUACAGUAAUUCAAAUACGUAAUUGAUUGAUGAAUUAGAUAGGCCUAUGGUAUAUGUAUUAAUAAAUUUAUGCUGUAUGCCGGCAAAGAAUGGUACAGACACAAGAAGACUGGAGGUAAGUGGGUUAGUUAUUUACUCAAAGAUCUUGUAACAAAAUAGCGCUCUCACCUAUUUG